rnacentral:tRNA from 1 species
GUCUAGUUAGCUUUAUUGGUAGUGUGUCUGCCUUGUAAGCGCAAGGUUGCGGGUCCGAUUCCCGCACGGGGCG